rnacentral:rRNA from 1 species
GAAUUUUAUAUAAUAAAUAUAUAUAAAUAUAAAUAUUAUUAAUAAAUUUUUGAGAGUAUAUUUUUAUAUUUUAUUGGGAGGAUAAUUAAAUUAUAUAAACUUUAAUUAAAAUAAAGAUAUUAAUUAAUAAUAAUAAAAGAAAAUUAAAUUAAUUAAAUUAGAAUUAAUUACCUUAGGGAUAACAGCACAAAAUUUUUAGAGAGAUCAUAUUAAUAAAAAUAUUUGU